GAAACAGUGUGGUGCAAAAGAAAAGUCUAAAAUAAACUUUAACUUAAGAACAAUAUGUGCAUAAAGUUAAUUCCAAAUGAUAUGAUGUUACACGCACACGCUAAUUAUCGGACUAGUCUAGCAUUCUUGCAGUUAUUUAGAGGAGUGCAUGCCCAAGAUGCUACACGUUGCAUAAAACUUCUACCAACUUCCUUCUUGGCAUACCAAACAAAAUAGGAGACGCACCAAAUUCCUCAAAUAGAAUCCACGGUAGAGCUCGAACUUCACUGUGCAAGUAGAAAACUUUUUUUGAUACGGAAAAGGGAAAUUACAAGCAGAAACCUCGAAGUAAGUUGAUCAUAUAGAAUAUACGUGUGGGCAUAUUUUAUGAUUAAGUAAUUAAAAGAUAAGAAUUUUUUGUGUCUGCUAAAAAUAAGAAAAAUAAAAUAAAAUUAAGUGGAUAGUAUAAGUAGGUAUGAUACAUUUAACCAACAAAAAAAAUAGUACGUACGACAUAAAAUUUAUUAUUAUAAAAAAAAAAAAAAAAGUAGUGGUAAUGGUCGCAAACGAACAAAAGUUCAACCCGCUACAAUCACAAAUUUGUUGUUGAAAAAGAAAGAUGAACAUACAAUUAAUACCAGCAGUCAUCCUUUUAUAAGAGAGACGUUCUGUUUAGGGAAGGAAAAAAAUCUUAUCCACUAAGACGGGAAAAAAACACAAGGAGCUAAACAGGAAACAAAAGGUUUGGCCAAAAAAAAAAGGGGAAACAAAAGGUUUGGCCACAAAAAAAAAGGGAAAACAAAAGGUUUGGCUAAAAAAGAAAAGAGGAAACAUAAGGAAUAUGGCCAAACCAGGCAGAGCGUAAAAAUUUGCCUUGCACGAAACGCAUUGACAAACCCCGAAUGAAGAAAUUCGAUAGCUUCAACAAUCAACAUUCAACGCCUUUGAAAACGAGUUUGUAUCCUAGCACUGACCCAGUUGAUGUGUUCAAUAGCAUAUAUUGCUUACACGGACUCUGAUGGGAAUUUUAUCUCUGCUGCGGACUCUGAGACAUCAGUUGAAUAUCAGCAAGAACUAAGACCAGAGGAAAAUGUACUUUUCUUGGAUCCUUCCGGGUAGUUUUUUUUUCAUCCUUUGUAGUGGAUUCUGCAUUGAAAGGGUUAAGGGAAGAAGGAACCUUUAGUUUGGCAUUCCAUAUUCCAUAUUCCUCUUCCUCUUUUUGUUUUCUCUUUGGCAUAAUUUUUCCUUCCGUAGGUCAUGAAAUCUGGGGAAUUCUUUCGUAAUGAAAGACAAUCCUAACAAUAGCUUUAUGAAAAUAUGAUAACUUUAUGUGAUUAGCAUUUUUUGCAACGUUUCUUUUACUCUUUUUUAAAUGUCAGCACUUCUAUUACAU